rnacentral:rRNA from 1 species
CCUACGGGAGGCAGCAGUCGGGAAUAUUGCGCAAUGGUGGAAACUCUGACGCAGUGACGCAGCGUGCAGGAAGACGGUUCUCGGAUUGUUAACUGCUUUUGACAGGGAAGUAAAAAGACAGUACCUGUAGAAUAAGCUCCGGCUAACUACGUGCCAGCAGCCGCGGUAAUACGUAGGGAGCACGCGUUAUCCGGAUUUAUUGGGUGUAAAGGGUGCGUAGGAGGAGAAGCAAGUUAGUUGUGAAAUGCCUUGGCUGAACUGAGGAACUGCAACUAAAACUACUUCCCUUGAGUCCUGGAGAGGAAAGUGGAAUUCGUAGUGUAGCGGUGAAAUGCGUAGAUAUUAGGAGGAACACCAGUGGCGAAGGCGACUUUCUGGAGAGUAACUGACGUUGAGGCACGAAAGUGUGGGUAGCAAACAGGAUUAGAUACCCGUGUAGUC